AACGCUAGCUACAGGCUUAACACAUGCAAGUCGAGGGGCAGCAUGAACUUAGCUUGCUAAGUUUGAUGGCGACCGGCGCACGGGUGAGUAACACGUAUCCAACCUGCCGAUGACUCGGGGAUAGCCUUUCGAAAGAAAGAUUAAUACCCGAUGGCAUAGUUCUUCCGCAUGGUAGAACUAUUAAAGAAUUUCGGUCAUCGAUGGGGAUGCGUUCCAUUAGGUUGUUGGCGGGGUAACGGCCCACCAAGCCUUCGAUGGAUAGGGGUUCUGAGAGGAAGGUCCCCCACAUUGGAACUGAGACACGGUCCAACUCCUACGGGAGGCAGCAGUGAGGAAUAUUGGUCAAUGGACGAGAGUCUGAACCAGCCAAGUAGCGUGAAGGAUGACUGCCCUAUGGGUUGUAAACUUCUUUUAUACGGGAAUAAAGUGAGGCACGCGUGCCUUUUUGUAUGUACCGUAUGAAUAAGGAUCGGCUAACUCCGUGCCAGCAGCCGCGGUAAUACGGAGGAUCCGAGCGUUAUCCGGAUUUAUUGGGUUUAAAGGGAGCGUAGGCGGACGCUUAAGUCAGUUGUGAAAGUUUGCGGCUCAACCGUAAAAUUGCAGUUGAUACUGGGUGUCUUGAGUACAGUAGAGGCAGGCGGAAUUCGUGGUGUAGCGGUGAAAUGCUUAGAUAUCACGAAGAACUCCGAUUG
rnacentral:rRNA from 1 species